rnacentral:SRP_RNA from 1 species
GUCGGGCAAUGGCUUCGCCACCAUUGCCUGUCACUCCCACGGCCAACGGGAGGACUGGAUUGAAGAAGUGCGGGGAGGUCAUGCGAUUCGGCACAUAGGGUGCGCGUCGCACCUUGUCGACCGAGCUGCCUGAUCUGAACGCUCAGUGGACGUCUCUUCAAGGGCUCGUGCGAGAAAUCGCCUGCGGGUCCUCGUCCUUGAAUCCGCUGGGAAUGCGUGAGGCCGGGCUAACGGAGCAGCGAACACGGUGAUCUGAGCGUGGUAGAUCAGAAAACAGUUCAGAGAGGCGCGGUGCGGGCCUGCCGAGUCAACACUGGGGCUCACUGUAGUUUUU